UUUUUUGCAUUUCUUCAUUGCAAAGGAAUAAUUCAUUUAUAUGUUUUUAUAAAUUUUAACACUAUUCAUAACUCACAAUUAUGCAUAAUGCCAUGAAUACAUUUUCUCCAGUUUAGUAUAGUUAAAAAAACAAAGAAUACUUGGUUUUGGUUUUGAUUGGUUGUUAUUAUGCAGAGGACUGGCCUUUAUACGUGUAGCUGAUUCAAUUUGUAUCUCAAAGACUCUUUGCUAAGACAUACCCUGAUUCUCUCACCUUAUGUUUAUGUCUGGCUUCUGUCAUUGGAACCUAUUUCUUGUUGGAUUCUAGAUAGUCCCACUGGUGGGAAGUGUCUAGGGCUAGAGCGAGUUCUAGUCAAUUAUUUUUUCAUCUUUCCAGAAAUAAAACUUUAAUUCAAAUAACAAACAAGUAUUUAUGAGUUCCUACUAAACACUUAGCAUUGUUCUCAUUGUUAUAGGACAUAUAAAGACAUUUUCAAACAAGGUCCUUGCUUUCAGAGGUCUUAUAAUCUACUUAAUGAGGAAAAAAUAUACAUACAUGAAAUAAUAAGUUGACAACAAAGGAGGAUAGGAAGCGCUUAAGUGUAUGUAACAACUAAGAGCAUUUACACACAAUAAUUACUUGAUCUAGGCCAGAGCUCCUGUGGAGAAAGGAAGGUUUAAUAACUGAAAGAAUAGUAGAAAGGGUGUAGGUGGUCAAAGAAAAGGAGACUGACUUCAUAGCUCCCUCAACAUUGAAGACCUAGAGGCUGCAGCAUUUUCUGCCUGCUUCUUCCUUUUGCCUUCCACAAUAAUUUGUUUUAGGCUUCAAUGUCAUUAGAUACUGCAGAGCUUCUGAUUCAAAUUAACUACUUUAAGUGAUUAGGACAACUUGUAAGUAGGUCCUCAUUAAAUCUUCCAGAAAGUUGCCAUAAAGCACUUACUUUUAAAAAAUCUUCUGUUUAUGUGCAAAUUUUUAAAAUCUGCAUCCACCUUCUAGGACUGUGAACUUCUGCAAGACAGUGACAAUGACUUCUGUAUGUCUCUAUUUUACUCAAUGUGAAAAGAAGAGAAACCUCUCCAACGGCUAGUGAACAAAUUCUCAUUAAGUUCUUUGAUCAUUUGCUGGCUGGGAUAGAAGAUAUAUCAGGACACUGGGGACAAUAUUACUGGAAAGACAAAUUGGAGUAUUUCAACAGCAGAUACCUGCAGAGUUUGCUCGGAGAAUACGACCAUCCCACAUCAAACAUCAAAGAAGCACUGUACUUGUUUGUGAAAAGCUUGAGAGAAAACGUGCCAUUGAGUUGGCAGAAGCAGGCCAAGGGUGAGAAGAUGCCCCACUCUGCUUCAGCUAGCCAUCCAUGAGCUGCACUCACUGUCCAAUGAGUCCCAGUGAGACAAACCAGGUACCUCAGUUGGAAAUGCAGAAAUCAUCCAUCUUCUGUGUCAAUCACGCUGGGAGCUGCAGACCGGAGCUGUUCCUAUUCAGCCAUCUUGGAAGGUAUUUGUGUAUCAUCUUUUUAAUCCCAUUUUCAUAUUCCUUAAGGAUUUUCUUCUGUCCUGCAUAAUGGGUGAAUUCCUCAGUACUACCUUCCAGUUUUAUAAUUCUCUCUUCAAGGUCUAGUCAAAUGUUUACCUGUACAUUAAUACUUGUAUUAUAAUUACCAAAAUUUCAUUUCUAAUAUUUAUAAUAGAUU